AAUGGGGGGAAACCCUGAUGCAGCCAUGCCGCGUGUGUGAAGAAGGCCUUCGGGUUGUAAAGCACUUUCAGUUGUGAGGAAAAGUUAGUAGUUAAUACCUGCUAGCCGUGACGUUAACAACAGAAGAAGCACCGGCUAACUCCGUGCCAGCAGCCGCGGUAAUACGGAGGGUGCGAGCGUUAAUCGGAAUUACUGGGCGUAAAGCGCACGCAGGCGGUUUGUUAAGCUAGAUGUGAAAGCCCCGGGCUCAACCUGGGAUGGUCAUUUAGAACUGGCAGACUAGAGUCUUGGAGAGGGGAGUGGAAUUCCAGGUGUAGCGGUGAAAUGCGUAGAUAUCUGGAGGAACAUCAGUGGCGAAGGCGACUCCCUGGCCAAAGACUGACGCUCAUGUGCGAAAGUGUGGGUAGCGAACAGGAUUAGAUACCCUGGUAGUCCACACCGUAAACGCUGUCUACUAGCCUGUGUGUGCCUUUAAGGCGUGCGUAGCGA
rnacentral:rRNA from 1 species